CUCAAACUCCACUGCAUAACCAACAAUCUUAAUACAAAAGAAGAUCUUCAUGGAUUUGCCUGCAUUUAUCUGUCCGGCAAUUCUUACCAGUCACUCUGUUCCUGCUGCUAUGAAGCACCCCCAUAGCCUGAUGUUGCCACCACCAUGUUUCAUCAGAUGGAUAGUAGACAGGUCAAGGAGAAGUGAUGAAAAACCAACAGAAGAAAACAGCAUGCCAAGUUUUCUCUGAAACAUGACCUUGAGCUG